UACGUAGGGGGCAAGCGUUGUCCGGAUUCAUUGGGCGUAAAGAGCGUGUAGGCGGCCAGGUAGGUCGGUUGUGAAAACUGGAGGCUCAACCUUCAGAGGUCGACCGAAACCAUCUGGCUAGAGUCCGGGAGAGGAGAGUGGAAUUCCGAGUGUAGAGGUGAAAUUCGUAGAUAUUCGCAAGAACACCAGUGGCGAAGGCGGCUCACUGGCCCGGUACUGACGCUGAGGUGCGAAAGCGUGGGGAGCAAACAGGG
rnacentral:rRNA from 1 species